rnacentral:rRNA from 1 species
GAUUAUGGCUCAGGAUGAACGCUAGCUACAGGCUUAACACAUGCAAGUCGAGGGGCAUCAUGAGAUUAGCUUGCUAAUCUUGAUGGCGACCGGCACACGGGUGAGUAACGCGUAUCCAACCUUCCCCUUAGUAGGGCAUAGCCCGGCGAAAGUCGGAUUAAUACCCUAUGUUGUCAAUAGAGGACAUCUGAAGCUGACUAAAGAUUAAUCGCUAAGGGAUGGGGAUGCGUCUGAUUAGCUUGUUGGCGGGUAACGGCCCACCAAGGCGACGAUCAGUAGGGGUUCUGAGAGGAAGGUCCCCCACACUGGUACUGAGACACGGACCAGACUCCUACGGGAGGCAGCAGUGAGGAAUAUUGGUCAAUGGGCGUAAGCCUGAACCAGCCAAGUAGCGUGCCAGGAUGACGGCCCUAUGGGUUGUAAACUGCUUUUAUGCGGGGAUAAAGUCACCUACGUGUAGGUGUUUGUAGGUACCGCAUGAAUAAGGACCGGCUAAUUCCGUGCCAGCAGCGGC